GAUGAAGAACGCAGCGAAACGCGAUAGUUAAUGUGAAUUGCAGAAUUCAGUGAAUCAUCGAGUCUUUGAACGCACAUUGCGCCCCCUGGUAUUCCGGGGGGCAUGCCUGUCCGAGCGUCAUUGCCGCCCUCAAGCACGGCUUGUGUGUUGGGCCCCCGCCCCCCGGCUUCGGGGGGCGGGCCCGAAAGGCAGCGGCGGCACCGCGUCCGGUCCUCGAGCGUAUGGGGCUUCGUCACCCGCUCUGUAGGCCCGGCCGGCGCCCGCCGGCGACCCCAAUCAAUCUUUCCAGGUUGACCUCGGAUCAGGUAGGGAUACCCGCUGAACUUAAGCAUAUCGAUAAGCGGAGGA
rnacentral:misc_RNA from 1 species